GACGAACCGAGCGAACGUUGUUCGGAUUUACUGGGCGUAAAGGGCGGGUAGGCGGCCACCGCAAGUCAGUUGUGAAAUCUCUGGGCUUAACCCAGAAAGGUCAACUGAUACUGCGGGGCUAGAGUGCAGAAGGGGCAACUGGAAUUCUCGGUGUAGCGGUGAAAUGCGUAGAUAUCGAGAGGAACACCUGCGGCGAAGGCGGGUUGCUGGGCUGACACAUGACGCUGAACUGCGAAAGCUAGGGAGCGAACGGG
rnacentral:rRNA from 1 species